AACGAACGCUGGCGGCAUGCCUAACACAUGCAAGUCGAACGAGACCUUCGGGUCUAGUGGCGCACGGGUGCGUAACGCGUGGGAACCUGCCCUUAGGUUCGGAAUAACUCCCCGAAAGGGGUGCUAAUACCGGAUAAUGUCUUCGGACCAAAGAUUUAUCGCCUUUGGAUGGGCCCGCGUUGGAUUAGCUAGUUGGUAGGGUAAAAGCCUACCAAGGCGACGAUCCAUAGCUGGUCUGAGAGGAUGAUCAGCCACACUGGGACUGAGACACGGCCCAGACCCCCGCGGGGGGGAAGAGUGGGGAAUUAUGGAACAAUGGGCAAGCUCUGUACCCGUCCUGCCCGGGUAGGUUAGGAGGCCUUUAGGUUUGUAAGCCUUUUUUCCCGGGGGUGACAAGAAGAGACCGGGAUAAAAAGUCCCCGCCAACCCCCUUC
rnacentral:rRNA from 1 species